UGCGCAGGCGGUUUGAUAAGACAGGCGUGAAAUCCCCGGGCUCAACCUGGGAACUGCGUUUGUGACUGUCUCACUAGAGUACGGCAGAGGGGGGUGGGAAUUCCACGUGUAGCAGUGAAAUGCGUAGAGAUGUGGAGGAACACCAAUGGCGAAGGCAGCCCCCUCGGGUCGAUACUGACGCUCAUGCACGAAAGCUGGGUAGCAAACA
rnacentral:rRNA from 1 species